AUUAUUCAUAACGACUCUCGGCAACGGAUAUCUCGGCUCUCGCAUCGAUGAAGAACGUAGCGAACUGCGAUACUUGGUGUGAAUUGCAGAAUCCCGUGAACCAUCGAGUCUUUGAACGCAAGUUGCGCCCGAGCUUCGGUUAGGGCACGUUUGCCUGGGUGUC
rnacentral:rRNA from 5 species